rnacentral:rRNA from 1 species
AGUGAACGCUGGCGGUAGGCCUAACACAUGCAAGUCGAACGGCAGCACAGUAAGAGCUUGCUCUUACGGGUGGCGAGUGGCGGACGGGUGAUGAAUACAUCGGAAUCUACUUUUUCGUGGGGGAUAACGUAGGGAAACUUACGCUAAUACCGCAUACGACCUACGGGUGAAAGCAGGGGAUCUUCGGACCUUGCGCGAUUGAAUGAGCCGAUGUCGGAUUAGCCAGUUGGCGGGGUAAAGGCCCACCAAGGCGACGAUCCGUAGCUGGUCUGAGAGGAUGAUCAGCCACACUGGAACUGAGACACGGUCCAGACUCCUACGGGAGGCAGCAGUGGGGAAUAUUGGACAAUGGGCGCAAGCCUGAUCCAGCCAUACCGCGUGGGUGAAGAAGGCCUUCGGGUUGUAAAGCCCUUUUGUUGGGAAAGAAAAGCAGCAGGUUAAUACCCCGCUGUUCUGACGGUACCCAAAGAAUAAGCACCGGCUAACUUCGUG